CUGGUUGAUCCUGCCAGUAGUCAUAUGCUUGUCUCAAAGAUUAAGCCAUGCAUGUGUAAGCACACACUGUUUAAAAGUGAAGCCGCGAAUGGCUCAUUACAACAGCCACAGUUUAUUAGAACUUACAAUCAUGGAUAACUGUGGUAAUUCUAGAGCUAAUACACGCACAAAAACUUCAACUGAAUUGGUUGAAGUGCUUUUAUUAGAACAAAAACCGAACGGCGUUUGACGAAUGUUGAACGUCGAAACUGUUUGGUGAAUCUGAAUAACUAUUUCUGAUCGCAUGGUCUAGCACCGGCGACAUCACUUUCAAGUGUCUGCCUUAUCAACCUUCGAUGGUAGUCUAUGCGACUACCAUGGUGAUAACGGGUAACGGAGAAUCAGGGUUCGACUCCGGAGAGGGAGCCUGAGAAACGGCUACCACAUCCAAGGAAGGCAGCAGGCGCGCAAAUUACCCACUCCCAGCUUGGGGAGGUAGUGACGAAAAAUAACGAGACGAUUCUCGUUUGAGAAACGUUAUCGAAAUGAGUACGCUUUACACACGCUAACGAGUAGCAAUUGGAGGGCAAGUCUGGUGCCAGCAGCCGCGGUAAUUCCAGCUCCAAUAGCGNGGUCG
rnacentral:ncRNA from 1 species